rnacentral:lncRNA from 1 species
GACCCCUCGAAGGCUGUCAAGUACAGAUUAACAGUCUCUCUCCAUAGGGAGGCAUCCGAAUCGGAGGUUCCUGCAACUUUUUCUUUUAUUCUUUCAAUGCCCCUUGGCAAUCAUUAUUUCACCUGACCGUUUGAUCUUUUCCUUUCCAACAGCUUGAGUAUAGGUUCACACGUGGCUGUCAGAUGAGAUGUGAACCAUGACAUGUAGCUCAAUCUACCUAAUAGACCACGAACCUCUUUCUGUUUUCGGUUCAGGCACUUCUCUUAUUUUCUUUU